AUAUUAAAAUAUUCAAAUUGGGUCGACUUGUGCCCUGACUUCUUUCAAUUAUAAAUUCCCCCUCCCACCACCUCAAAACACACAUCAACCACUUCACCACACAAACCCACUGCACAACAAGUUCCACAAUGAUGGAAUCCAUUUCUUGGGUUGCAUACGCUGCCGCAUGGCUGGGAGCACUCGCUCUCAUCCUCCUCUCCCGCCGCCUCCGCCACCGCAAGCUCAAUUUGCCGCCCGGUCCAAAACCCUGGCCCAUCAUUGGAAACCUCAACCUCAUAAACCAACUUCCCCACCGGUCUAUCCAUGCACUCGCCCAAAAAUAUGGGCCCAUCAUGCAGCUCAAGUUUGGGUCCCAUCCGGUCGUCGUGGGCUCUUCAGUUGACAUGGCUAAGGCCUUCCUGAAAACCCACGACGUUAUCUUCGCCGGACGACCCAAAUUCGCAGCCGGUAAGCACACCACAUACAACUACUCGGACAUUACUUGGUCCCCUUACGGCUCAUAUUGGCGCCAGGCCCGUAAAAUGUGCGUAAUGGAGCUUUUCAGUGCCAGACGCCUAGAAUCAUAUGAAUAUAUCAGAAAGGAGGAAAUGAACGCAUUGCUCAGAGGCUUAUUUGAGUCCUCCAACACCAACAUUUUGCUGAAAGAUCACCUUUCAACUGUGAGUCUUAAUGUUAUAAGCCGCAUGGUGCUCGGAAAGAAGUACACGGACGAGUCGAAAGACUCGAUCGUGAGCCCCGAUGAGUUCAAGAAGAUGUUGGAUGAGCUCUUCUUGCUGAGCGGGGUGUUGAAUAUUGGUGACUCAAUACCGUGGCUUGAUUUCUUGGACUUGCAAGGGUACAUAAAGAGAAUGAAGACUUUGAGCAAGAAGUUGGAUAGGUUCUUGGAGCAUGUGUUGGAUGUACAUAUUGCAAAGAGGAAGGCAGGUGGUGAAGACUUUGUUGCAAAAGAUAUGGUUGAUGUGCUUCUGCAACUUGCUGAUGAUCCUAACCUUGAAGUUAAGCUUGAAAGACAUGGAAUAAAGGCCUUUACCCAGGACCUAAUUGCCGGUGGAACUGAGAGCUCAGCGGUGACCGUCGAAUGGGCAAUUUCAGAGCUGCUAAGGAAGCCGGAGGUUUUCAAGAAGGCAACAGAGGAGCUAGACAGGGUGAUUGGAAGAGAGAGAUGGGUUGAAGAGAAUGACAUUGUCAACUUACCCUAUGUUGAUGCCAUUGCCAAGGAAACCAUGAGGCUGCACCCAGUGGCACCCAUGUUGGUGCCAAGACUAUCCCGAGAAGACUGCCAAGUUGCUGGCUAUGACAUCCCCAAGGGCACCAGAAUCCUAGUAAGUGUCUGGACCAUAGGAAGAGACCCUCAACUUUGGGACAACCCAGAAGAGUUUUGCCCUGAGAGGUUCCUUGGCAAGGACAUUGAUGUCAAAGGCCAGGACUUUGAGCUGCUCCCAUUUGGGUCAGGCAGGAGGAUGUGCCCUGGCUACAGCCUUGGCAUCAAGGUGAUCCAGGCAAGCCUGGCCAAUCUCCUACACGGGUUUACAUGGAGAUUGCCCGACACCUUGAAGGAGGAGGAUUUGAACAUGGAGGAAAUUUUUGGGCUUUCAACUCCAAAGAAGUAUCCUCUUGUUGCAGUCUGUGAACCUCGUCUUCCACCUCACGUUUACACACUCUGAUUUUUGUCUUAGUUUCAGUUACUUCUCUUCUUCCCUCUGAAUAAUUACUAUUGGGAUGCGUGUGAUCAAAAUCCAGAGGCUCUUAUUGUAAUUUCCUGUUCUUCUC